UAGGUGUCUUCUGUCUUGGUUUACUCAUUAUUAUUAUUUGAGAGUGAAAUAUGACAAAUGAAGAUGAAACGUGAAACUGGUUAAAUACCAGUACUGCCCCCGCAACGGUAACUGUGAGCAGCAACAAAACCACUGUAUUGAAUCAUUAUUGAGCUAAGUAAAAUUGAGCUAAGUAAAAUUGAGCUAAGUAAAAUUGAGCUCAGCAAAAUAGUGAAGGUAUGGGAAGGUGUUGCAAAUGCAAUGAACAGGAGUCCGGAGACCGGCCUAGUCAUAUCUUUUGAUA
rnacentral:ncRNA from 17 species